CGGUGCCUCCCGGAGGGCGGCUGUUUGUGCUGGGGGGAUUGUCGCCUAGGGAGGAGUUAAUGCGGAUAAAUUCGAAGUCACAGCUGAGGCUUAUAGAUAUGUAAACAUAUAUAUGUGAUUACACGUCUAUUUAUAAAGGUGAUUUUGAGGCCGUCAUAAUGAGAAACCAAGAAAUUUCAGCUUGCCUAGGGAAUGUUUCUUACACAGAUGUACGGCACUGUGCAGGCUGUGAUGCUGCAGCCGGAUCCCAGUGCUUUGGGAAGAUUAAACGUGGUCUCCCCAAAGCCAAAGACCCCCAGACUGUGCCCCCAGCCGCAGGCCUGCAGGCACAGACCAUGCACAGCACUGCGGAGGAGCGCUGUACAGAGAGAUCAGUGCUUGCCCAGCCAACAUUUGUGUUUGGAAAGAAGGACCACCCUUUGAAGGUAAAAACUUUAACUUCUGUUUUUCAUCAUUGAUAAAAGAAUACUGGAAAUGAAGAUUGUAUAGACAAUUCUAGUAGUAAUAAAAGAUUUUAGCCCAGGAUAAGGCUUGCA
rnacentral:lncRNA from 1 species